AUACAAUAUGUUAUAUGUUAUAUGAAUAUAUUAUAUAAUAUAUAGUUUUUGUUCAUGAUAUCAACAUGUUCCUCUGGUGGAGAUCUUGGUGGUAGUAGCAAAUAUUCAAAUGAGAACUUUGAAGAGUGAAGUGGGAAAAUGUUCCAUGUGAACAUCACUUGGACAUGGUCGGUUAGUUGAUCCUAAGAGAUGGGGAAUCCUUGUAUCAAGGGUACACUCUGCAUGAACAUCGAAAGAGAAUUGGGUUAAUAUUCCCGAAUUGGGACAUGGUGGUGGGCGACAAUGUUAGGAAAUCUGGAGAUGUCAUCGGGGGCCUGGGAAGAGUUAUCUUUUCUUUUUAACGACUUUCCCACCCUGAAAUCGAUUUAAUCGGAGAUAGGGUCCAACAUCUGGAAGAGAACCACAUGUCUUGUGUUGUUUGGUGCCCCCUCAGUAACCAUUGAAAAUAUGGAGAACUGAGUACCAUCCAUGCUCGAUUGUACUCAUAUCUGCCUCCUUGGAUUUUUCGAUGUCC
rnacentral:ncRNA from 1 species